GCGCGAUCGCCUCAGGGGGGAACAGUCUGCUUUCACUCGCUUCAAAAUGCCUCGGUGUGUGUUCUGCUUUUUUGAUCCUCACGAUAUCGAGGAUGAAUCGGACGACGACGAUUCUCGGGACGGCGCACCUCCUACACUGUCUGCUCACGUGAUGCGAUCGCACCCCGACGUGGAUACAUCUUUCCUGCCCUUCUUCCAGACUGACAGUGCAUUUAGAGGUGUCGUUAAAAGAUAAUGCAGUGGAUGAGUAGGAGUAGCAUCAUUCGACCUGCGUCACUGGAAGGAUGUGGCACCUCGUUCUCUUCUCGCUCGUCUCGUGCGCGCUGGCGCUGGACGCUGGCAACUGUACUGCGAGCAUCAAGCUGGAGAAGGAUAAGCACACGUACGCGCACGAAUGCCCUGGCGACAUCUUGGCCAUCAGAGAGUGGCACGUGGUACCUAUGCGAUCCGGUAUUAACCUGAAUAGGAACGCUACUGGAUCGCUGCGCGCGUGCCUUCACUCGCUGGACGUGAGCGACAGCUACGAAGAUAUCCAGUGCACGCGGAUGUGCCAGCUCACGGAGGACGAAAUUUUUCUCAGCCGCUGUCCCGGAGACGUCUACAUGAUCCGUCACUUCCGUGGAACCACGCCCAGCAUCAAAGGAAUCAAUCUCUCCAAGACCGCCAUGCUUUUUCUCAAACAUGUACUCAAUAAACGUUGAAAG